AGCCUUAAUAACAACUGAAGUGUACUGAAGGCGAAUGCCUGCUUCCACACACAUAAUCCCUGUUACUGAAAAGCAGAACUUACCAGUAGGCUCUUCACUGAGAAGCUCAAGUGAUUUUCAAUGACAAGCAACACAAUGAAGGGGAAGAAGGCAACCUGAAGGAAGGACUUCAUUUCAGAGGAGCUGAUGUAAAAUGUAGCACCCUCUGAAUUAUUAAGUAUAAUAACUUCAAGGAUAGGAAGAAAGUCCCUUUGUGUCUUUGUUCCCAGUAGGAUGGGGAAAUGUCAGCAAUGAAAAAAAGAAAACUAACGUUACUUGGAGUCAACAGAAGAUGCCUUUUGACUCUCCACCAGGCACUAGACUCCCAUGGAAAAAUCUUGGAUACUCUUUGUUUAACCUGAGGCUUAAAA